GCCUGAUUGGCUCAGUUGGUAGAGCAUGCAACUGUUUAUCUCAGGGUUGUGAGUUCAAGCCCCACAUUGGAUG
rnacentral:tRNA from 1 species